GACGAACGCUGGCGGCGCGCUUAACACAUGCAAGUCGAACGGAAAGGCCUGCUUUCCCUUGUGGAUUGCGGGUACUCGAGUGGCGAACGGGUGAGUAACACGUGAGUGAUCUGCCCCCAACUUGGGUAUAAGCCUGGGAAACUGGGUCUAAUUCCCGAUAGGACUGCAGGGUGGUGCCUGUGGUGGAAAACGAUUUUCUAGUGGUUGGGGCUGAGCUCGCGGCCUAUCAGCUUGUUGGUGGGGUAAUGGCCUACCAAGGCGGCGACGGGUAGCCGGCCUGGGAGGGUGGACGGCCACAUUGGGACUGAGAUACGGCCCAGACUCCUACGGGAGGCAGCAGUGGGGAAUAUUGCGCAAUGGGCGGAAGCCUGAUGCAGCGACGCCGCGUGGGGGAUGACGGCCUUCGGGUUGUAAACUCCUUUCGACCGCGAGGAAGCCACCUGGUUGGAAGGGUGGUGACGGUAGUGGUAGAAGAAGCACCGGCUAACUACGUG
rnacentral:rRNA from 1 species